CUUUAACUAACCAACCCAAAGAGAAUAAAUUUAACCAUUAAGGAAUAACAACAAUCUCCAUGAGUUGGUAGUUUCGGUUGGGGUGACCUCGGAGAAUAAAAAAUCCUCCGAGCGAUUUUAAAGACUAGACCCACAAGUCAAAUCACUCUAUCGCUCAUUGAUCCAAAAACUUGAUCAACGGAACAAGUUACCCUAGGGAUAACAGCGCAAUCCUAUUCAAGAGUCCAUAUCGACAAUAGGGUUUACGACCUCGAUGUUGGAUCAGGACAUCCUGAUGGUGCAACCGCUAUCAAAGGUUCGUUUGUUCAACGAUUAAAGUCCUACGUGAUCUGAGUUCAGACCGGAGUAAUCCAGGUCGGUUUCUAUCUAUUACGUAUUUCUCCCAGUACGAAAGGACAAGAGAAAUAAGGCCAACUUUAAAUCAAGCGCCUUAAGACAACC
rnacentral:rRNA from 1 species